rnacentral:rRNA from 1 species
GGUGCGGCCGUUGCGGUCCCGCUUUGCGGCGGGCACUGCAAGCGUCGCGCCUUCUUCUUUCUGGGUGGGCAGUGUUCUCUUUACUGAGUGCGCUGCUCCGGCCAGGAUCUUUUACUUUGAAAAAAUUAGAGUGUUUAAAGCAGGCAAUGUCGCUUGAAUACAUUAGCAUGGAAUAAUGGAAUAGGACUUUGGUUCUAUUUUGUUGGUUUCUAGGACCGAGGUA